AUGCCUCAGUAACGGCGAGUGAAGCGGCAACAGCUCAAAUUUGAAAUCUGGCUCUUUUAGGGUCCGAGUUGUAAUUUGUAGAAGAUGCUUCGGGUGUGGCUCCGGUCUAAGUUCCUUGGAACAGGACGUCAUAGAGGGUGAGAAUCCCGUAUGUGACUGGUUGCCUUCGCCCAUGUGAAGCUCUUUCAACGAGUCGAGUUGUUUGGGAAUGCAGCUCAAAAUGGGUGGUAAAUUUCAUCUAAAGCUAAAUAUUGGCCAGAGACCGAUAGCGCACAAGUAGAGUGAUCGAAAGAUGAAAAGCACUUUGGAAAGAGAGUUAAACAGUACGUGAAAUUGUUGAAAGGGAAAGCGCUUGCAACCCAGACUUGCAUGCGGUCGAUCAUCCCGGUGUUCUCACCGGUGCACUCGAUCGUAUUCAGGCCAGCAUCGGUUUCGGUGGUUGGAUAAAGGCCCUUGGGAAUGUAGCUUCUUUCGGGGAGUGUUAUAGCCCAAGGUGCAAUGCAGCCUACCGGGACCGAGGACCGCGCUUCGGCUAGGAUGCUGGCGUAAUGGUUGUAAGCGACCCGUCUUGAAACACGGACCAAGGAGUCUAACAUCUAUGCGAGUGUUUGGGUGUCAAACCCAUACGCGUAAUGAAAGUGAACGGAGGUGAGAACCCUUAAGGGUGCAUCAUCGACCGAUCCUGAUGUCUUCGGAUGGAUUUGAGUAAGAGCAUAGCUGUUGGGACCCGAAAGAUGGUGAACUAUGCCUGAAUAGGGUGAAGCCAGAGGAAACUCUGGUGGAGGCUCGCAGCGGUUCUGACGUGCAAAUCGAUCGUCAAAUUUGGGUAUAGGGGCGAAAGACUAAUCGAACCAUUUGCUCCACGCUAGGUGGUUAAGAGGAUGCUAAAAGGGCAUUCUAGUCCUGGUCUAGGGCAACACUAUCAAAUUGUUCGGGGACGUCCUGUUGACUUCUAAACUACCGCAGCCUCUUCGAAAGGAAGGUGCGCACCAGGGUAAUGACCUCGGGUAUGGUAAUAACGUUUAGAUAGGGAUAAUCCGCAGCCAAGUCCUAAGGGUUUAACGCCUAUGGAUGCAGUUCACAGACUAAAUGGUAGUGGGUCCAGUAUAGUUACUGGGCUUAAGAUAUAGUCGAUCCGCUGGGAGACCAGAGCGGCACGGAGGAUUACAUAGAUAAGACCAUCAUUAUUAUGAUUUCUAUGUAUGAGAGCCUGUCGGAGACGUCCGGUAGCGGGGUACCUGACGUCUUGGAGAGAGUUUAGGCCAUCGCCAGCAGCGUCGUGAUGUCGAUCGAGGGGCCAGCAGGGCCGUCGAUUCGGGGUGCGGCGUCGGCGAGUACGCUCUCA
rnacentral:ncRNA from 1 species